GUCCACGCCGUAAACGAUGUACACUGGACCGGUGCGGUUUUGACGCCGUAUCGGUCGUAGUAAAACGUUAAGUGUACCGCCUGGGGAGUACGGUCGCAAGGCUAAAACUCAAAUGAAUUGACGGGGGCUCACACAAGCGGUGGAGCAUGUUGCUUAAUUCGAGGCAACGCGAAGAACCUUACCUGGGUUUGACAUGCUGGGAUCAACUCGAUGAAAGUCGAGCCACAGUCGCAAGACCGGAACCAGCACAGGUGCUGCAUGGCUGUCGU
rnacentral:rRNA from 1 species